UCCCUUGGGCUGUGAAAAGGCCACCUUGGGGGCUGCACACUGCUCUGUGGGCUCCCUGAGGGUCCUCCCCUAGUUAUGGCAGCUGGAUAGUCACAAAGGGCUCAGAAGUGCCCUGUACGGGGUUCAUUUUCUGCUGUUAACCAUCUUGUAAUUCUUUUUUCUCCCUUUUUUAAACAGAGCUCUCACUCUGUCACCCAUGGGCAUGAUCUCCGCUCACUGCAACCCCCACCUCCUGGGUUCAAGAGAUUCUCCUGCUUCAGGAGAAUCCCAAGUAGCUGGGAUUAUGGGUGUGCACCACCAUUCCUGGCUAAUUUUUGUAUUUUUAGUAGAGAUGGGGGGUCUCAUCAUGUUGGCCAGGCUGGUCUCGAAUUCCUGAUCUCAAGUGAUCUGCUCACCUUGGCCUCCUAAAGUGCUGGGAUUACAGGCGUGGACCACUGCACCCAGGCCGUCUUGAAAUUCUUGGUAACAUUUCAACAAGGGGCUCUGCAUUCAUUUUCCCCAGGAUCCCAAACUUCAUGUGGACAUCUGCCAGCAGCGCACGCCUUUGGAGCCCCCGUCAUGUGCCCAGCUCUGUCCUAGGCUGGCCACACACACUGCCUCCUUGACUCCUGCCAGCCAUCUGUUACAGGCAUGGUCAUUCUGCAGAUGGGGAAACUGAGACUCAGAGAGCUCCUGAUUCAGGCACUACCAGGCCGUUCAGGUGUCUUCGCUCAUUCAUGCAGCAACUUCAAGCACCUACUAUGUGCAGGGGGACACAGAGGUAACAAAAGACAACACAGUCCUUGCUCUCAAGGAUCCAGCAGUGAUCCCAAGGACAACAACACACGCCAGUUCAGGUCUAUGUCCCUGUAAUAAGGUAAGAACUCCAGGUUGCAAUCCAGAUACUCAAUACAUAUGGCAUUGGUUUAUUUUUCUUACUAUCAACAGAAUUGUGACUGGAUCCCUAUCGCACUAGGCUGGGCAGGGAACUAAACCCCAGGCUGUUUCAUAUUCUAGCUGCUAAUAGUAACAUCCAAGCCUCCUCAACAGCUCACGUGUAUUGAGUGGUUACUAAAUGCUGGCCCCAGGGAAGGUCUUUUUUUUUUUUUUUUUGAGACGGGGUAUUGCUCAUUGCCCAGGCUGGAGUGCAGUGGCAUGAUCACUGCCUGCUGCAGCCUGGACCUCCAAGGUCAAGCGAUCCUCCCACCUCAGCCUCCGAAGUAGCUGGAACUAAAGGCAUGUACCACCGCACCCAGCUAAGUUUUUUUCUUUUUUUUUCAGAGAUGGGGUUUUGCCUUGUUUCCCAGGCUGAUUUUGAACUCCUAGGCUCAAGUCUUCUGCCCAUCUCUGCCUCCUGAAGUGUUGGGAUUACUGGUGUGAGCCACUGCGUCCGGCUGUGGGCCAAAUCUUUAGAAGCAUUUCAUCCUCUCGAAGCAAUCUGAUGAAGUCAUUUAGGGAGCCCACAAAGGGAGGAAAGGAAGGUCUGGAAGGAUGAGCGGCUUGUCCUAGAAUACAUAGCUGCGAGGUUUUUAACCCAGGUCUGGUUGGAUGAGGGAGGGGACCUCUGCCAUGGGGCAGUCGUGACAGGUGCAGGGUGCCAUGGUCUUCUCCAAGGGUGCAGCUCCUCGAGGUGGGGUUUCUCCCCUGGUUUCUGUUCUUGGGCUGAAGGGCCCUCAACUCCCAGGUGGGUGUUUCAACUCGGAGUGGCAGGGUAGGGACGGGGUGUCUCAGUCCCAGUAGAAACAUCAGAUGCCAGGAAGCAGCUAGAUCACCCAGAACAGCAGGCACAGCUUUACGUGCACACCCACAGGCCCGGAUGCCGUUUUACCAUUUAAUGUGCUCCAGCAUCACCCAGCUAAGCCUGCCCCUUAUCCUCGGCCUGGCUGGCUGCUGCCCGUCAGGGAGCUAAACCGACUCCUGUGAAUGAGCGGCCAGGCCUUUUUGGGAGCCUUCCGGGUGUGACUCUGGGGAGGUGUCCACAUACAUCAGUCAUUCACCCACUUUUCACACCCAUGCACACUCAGCUGUGUACAUUCACAGACACACUCACUCACACCCAA
rnacentral:lncRNA from 1 species